AUUCAACUGACGAUCUGAUGGGUUUUUUCUUUGACCCCAUUAGCUGGAAUCAAAAGAGAGAUGGCUGCUGCAAAGAAGAAGAUUGCUGACAGAAGAGAUCAGGAGCGGAAGGCAUUUGCUAGGAUUUUCCAACCUUCUGGAAAGUCUGACAAGAGCAACGAAGAGAAUAAUUGAUCUACAGUUCCUUUCCCCCAUCUG